UACAGAGGGUGCGAGCGUUAAUCGGAAUUACUGGGCGUAAAGCGUGCGUAGACGGUUAUUUAAGUCGGAUGUGAAAGCCCCGGGCUCAACCUGGGAAUUGCAUUCGAGACUGAAUAGCUAGGGUGCGGUAGAGGGAAGCGGAAUUUCCGGUGUAGCGGUGAAAUGCGUAGAGUAUCGGAAGGAACAUCAGUGGCGAAAGCGGA
rnacentral:rRNA from 1 species